GCAAACCAGGUUUUGCUUGCUCACCAUGGAGAUGAUCAGCAACAGUGCCAUUAGGAAUGUAUUCAUACACAAGUAAGAGUUCACGGCUGUGGCGUGAAGUGCAGCCAUAAAGGGAGACUAGAUUUCUGUGGCGAAGGCGUAUCCAAAACCUCCAUCUCCAAGUUCUUUUUCGCUAGCGAAGUUAUUGGUAGCUUUUGCAAGAUCGUUGAAGGGAAAAACAGGGACCCCAAAGUAACAGCUGCCCCCUUCUACGUCUGUAUUUAAGUUCAAGAAAACAGAUUUAAUGCUCAAGAUCAAUUUUUAAGGCCCUGCAAUGAUUCCAUCUACUUCUCCAAUUUGUUUGGGGGGCCCAGUAAAGUAAGCUUCCAAAAUGGAGACAUUAUAAAACUCAUUUGAAGCCAUUGCAAGGUAUUAGUGCCGUUUUCAGGAUUAUUCAGAAUUAUUUAUCGUCCAAAGCAUGUAUUUUAGAUGACUAUACAUGAUAUCAGCUAGUUUUUAAUAAAGAGGUAACUUACCUAGUCCUAACUUCCACUUCC